GGCUGCCGUUGGGCAUCGCACCAUCCAAGGCACAGGCACUGUACUUGGAACAUCUAGACACCCAAGGAAGAAAUGAUGCUUCUGCCUGCUAUAUCUUCAUUGAUAAAAAGGGACUCGGGGCUGAAUGUCUGUAGAGCACUGUAAAACUCCUC